UGGCUUUUGAUCUUUGAAUUUUCUGCCUC
rnacentral:piRNA from 1 species